rnacentral:RNase_P_RNA from 1 species
GAAGCAAACUGGUUCUAUCGCUGUUUCGAUUGUGUCCGAUAAGUUACGUACUGUCGGUCUACUGGAAGAGAGGAAAGUCCGGGCAACAUAGAGCAACACGCUUCCUAACGGGAAGGCUCCGAUUUGUCGGAGACAGAAAGUGCCACAGAGAAUAUACCGCCUUGAUUAGUCAGGGUAAGGGUGAAAACGUGAGGUAAGAGCUCACGGUCUUGUAUGGUGACAUGCAUUACGGUAAACCUCGUGUGUUGAAAAACCAAAUAGGUUGCGGGAGCUGAAGGCUGCUCGUCUUCUCCCGAUUUAUCGGGAACCGCAAUGGGUAGGUUGAUGGACCCUAUGAGUGAUUGUAGGGCUAGAUAAAUGAUAGAAUCCCAAUUUAUUGGGAACAGAACCCGGCUUACAAGGUUUGCUUCUUUU